rnacentral:rRNA from 1 species
AGGGAAAUCUUCCACAAUGGACGAAAGUCUGAUGGAGCAACGCCGCGUGAGUGAAGAAGGGUUUCGGCUCGUAAAGCUCUGUUGGUAGUGAAGAAAGAUAGAGGUAGUAACUGGCCUUUAUUUGACGGUAAUUACUUAGAAAGUCACGGCUAACUAC